GACGAACGCUGGCGGCGUGCUUAACACAUGCAAGUCGAACGAAGUGGCGAACGGGUGAGUAACGCGUAAUCAACCUGCCCUUCAGAGGGGGACAACAGUUGGAAACGACUGCUAAUAUCGCAUACUGAAGGGGGGGAUUGCGUCUGAUUAGCUAGUUGGAGGGGUAACGGCCCACCAAGGCGAUGAUCAGUAGGCUGUUUGAGAGGAUGGACUGCCACAUUGGGACUUAGACACGGCCCAGACUCCUACGGGGGGCAGCAAUGGUGAAUAUUCCGCAAUGGACGAAAGUCUUACGGAGCAACGCCGCGUGAGUGAUGACGGCCUUCGGGUUGUAAAGCUCUGUUAAUCGGGACGCGGUACCGGAAUAGAAAGCCACGGCUAACUACGUGCCAGCAGCCGCGGUAAUAC
rnacentral:rRNA from 1 species